CCUGAGUUGACAAACUCCCAAACCCAUUGUGAACCUUACCUCAUCGUUGCUUCGGCGGUCGACGGCCCCUCGCGGCCUCAGGGCCCGACCCCCCUCGGGGAGGCAGCCCGCCGGAGGACCGUCCAAACCAUUGUUAUUACAUGGCAUUGUCUGAGUGGCGUAAUCAAAUAAAGUCA
rnacentral:misc_RNA from 1 species